UGCGUAGGCGGCGCGGUAAGUCAGAUGUGAAAUCCCGGGGCUCAACCCCGGAACUGCAUCCGAUACUGCCGCGCUCGAGGGCUGGAGAGGAGACUGGAAUUCACGGUGUAGCAGUGAAAUGCGUAGAUAUCGUGAGGAACACCAAUGGCGAAGGCAAGUCUCUGGACAGCUUCUGACGCUGAGGCACGAAGGCUAGGGGAGCGAACAGGAUUAGAUACCCUGGUAGUCC
rnacentral:rRNA from 1 species